rnacentral:rRNA from 1 species
CCUACGGGUGGCAGCAGUGGGGAAUAUUGGGCAAUGGAGGCAACUCUGACCCAGCAACGCCGCGUGCAUGAUGACGGUCUUCGGAUUGUAAAGUUCUUUUCUAAGGGAAGAAGAAAGUGACGGUACCUUAGGAAUAAGCCUCGGCUAACUACGUGCCAGCAGCAGCGGUAAUACGUAGGAGGCAAGCGUUAUCCGGAAUGACUGGGCGUAAAGGGUGCGUAGGUGGUUUGACAAGUUAGUAGCGAAACUCCGGAGCUCAACUUCGGAACUACUACCAAAACUGUUGGACUUGAGUGCAGGUGGGGCAACCGGAAUUACUAGUGUAGCGGUGGAAUGCGUAGAUAUUAGGAAGAACACCGGUGGCGAAGGCGGCUUGCUAGACUGUAACUGACACUGAGGCACGAAAGCGUGGGGAGCGAACAGGAUUAGAUACCCGAGUAGUC